rnacentral:tRNA from 1 species
CGAUCCUCCAGGGUGCCGGGUCAUCCGGGCCUCCUCUCGAGGGGCCGACGAUCCGGCUCGUCGGGGAGGGGUUCGAGGUCUCGGGGCUCGCCC